rnacentral:rRNA from 1 species
AUGGAUGUAACAAGAACACGCCAGAAGAACAAGAUUCUCCAUCAUGAUUGUAAGGCACACAUGAUUGUUGGACUUAGGGAGGAGAGAUGGACAGUGACCUGCUUUGUUGCGGAGCAUACACAACCAUUGAUGCAACAACCAGAGCGUGUUAGAUACUACCACUCACACCGCAAUAUACCUGCCGAGGAUUACCAAGACCCUGAGUACCAAGGGCAAGGUCUACUAUUCAAGCUAACAUCAAGCUUAUAUGAGAACCCAAAGCUCUAUUUUGUGCAUGUUAUGAUGGAUGAAGGGGUGUUUCAAUGUAGUUGCCACUAA